CUCCCUUCUCCUUUCCCCUUGGACGUCCACACAUCCCACCACUUGGGGCGUCCUCUCUUCAUCAUGCCCAAGGGCUGUUGGGCAUCCAUUAUUUGUUGGUUUUAAGAGCUUGGCAGUAGCACAAAGCAAGAGAGAAAGGUUAAAUAAGAAGAGAAUAAGAAUAUCAAAGAAAGAGAUCAAGUGUUGAUCGUGAUUCAGACUUCGUUCAAAUUCAGCAGGCUGAAUUUUUUUAGAAAAAAAAUUUAAUUUGAAGAGAGCUGUUCCAGAUUGAUCCCGAGUGGAUACCCAUAGAGUCCAGAUACUUGUGU
rnacentral:lncRNA from 1 species